rnacentral:tRNA from 3 species
GCGCCCGUAGCUCAGUUGGAUAGAGUGUUGGUUUCCGAAGCCAAAGGUCACAGGUUCGACUCCUGUCGGGCGCA